GUCUUCUUCCUCAUGGCCUGGAAAGCUCUUCAGAGAGGAUUUGUAACACAGGGCGAUUUGACUUGGCAGGAAAAGCACCUUCUGAACACAAAGGAUUGUUUUACAGGCUUUGAGCUGCGCUCUCCGGGCCGGCGGUGCGCUCCUGUCAUUUUCCCUUGAGGCCACUGGGUGGCGCUGAAGGAGCCGGGAUUGCCAGUAAGACUGUUGCUUCCAACUCCUGUCACAGCGGUUUGGGGAAGAGCAGUCAGUCACACAGGUACCACACAGGUGAGCUUGAUUUGGAUCAAUACAUUUUGGAGAGCAAGAUUUGGAUCAAUAAAUUUUGGCAGUGCCUCUUUUGGGGAGCCGGAGUGACAAAGGAUCCAAGAGGAAGUCGCUAGACUGAUUUUAAUGACUUCACUGAAGGUCACUUUUCAGGAAGUGUCAAAGGCAGCCACAGAGCAGUGAAAGGCCACGAUGACCUGGGUGAUGCUCCUGGGGAACAGGCCAGUUCUUGCAGAAAGAUGUGUCAAGGACAAGUAUCCGUUCUUGUACUGGCCUCCCUGUCUGAAAUCCAGCCUCACUUUCCCUGACAGACAACAGCAACAACAACAACAAAAAUAUGGACAUUGACUCUGGG
rnacentral:lncRNA from 1 species